rnacentral:rRNA from 1 species
UACGAAGGGGCUAGCGUUGCUCGGAAUUACUGGGCGUAAAGCGCACGUAGGCGGCUUCUAAGUCGGGGUGAAUCCUGGAGCUCAACUCCAGAACUGCCUUCGACUACUGGAGAGCUUGAGUCCGGAGAGGUGAGUGAACUGCGAGUGUAGAGGUGAAUUCGUAGAUAUUCGCAGAACACCAGUGCGAAGCGGCUCACUGGCCGUACUGACGCUGAGUGCGAAGCGUGGAGCAACAGGAUUAGA